rnacentral:misc_RNA from 1 species
CUAAUGGAGCAAGUCGAGCGGAUCUUUAGAAGCUUGCUUCUAAAGAUUAGUUUUCGACGGGUGAGUAACAAAUGGGCAACCUGCCUGUAAGACUGGGAUAACUUCGGGAAACCGAGGCUAAUACCGGAUAAUCCUUUUUCUCACAUGAGGGAAAGCUGAAAGACGGCGUAAGCUGUCACUUACAGAUGGGCCCGCGGCGCAUUAGCUAGUUGGUGAGGUAACGGCUCACCAAGGCGACGAUGCGUAGCCGACCUGAGAGGGUGAUCGGCCACACUGGGACUGAGACACGGCCCAGACUC